rnacentral:rRNA from 1 species
GCAAGCGUUAUUCGGAAUCAUUGGGCGUAAAGGGCGCGUAGGCGGCCUGGCAAGUCAAAGGUGAGAUCCCUCGGCCCAACCGAGGAACUGCCUUUGAAACUGCAAGGCUUGAGGCCGGGAGAGGGUAGCGGAAUUCCCAGUGUAGCGGUGAAAUGCGUAGAUAUUGGGAGGAACACCAGUGGCGAAGGCGGCUACCUGGACCGGUUCUGACGCUGAGGCGCGAAAGCGUGGGGAGCAAACAGG